GACGAACCGUCCUAACGUUGUUCGGAAUCACUGGGCUUAAAGGGCGCGUAGGCGGGCAGCCAAGUCUGAGGUGAAAUCUUUCGGCUUAACCGGAAAAUAGCCUUGGAUACUGGCAGUCUCGAGGGAGGUAGGGGCAUGUGGAACUUCCGGUGGAGCGGUGAAAUGCGUUGAUAUCGGAAGGAACGCCGGUGGCGAAAGCGACGUGCUGGACCUCUACUGACGCUGAGGCGCGAAAGCGUGGGGAGCGAACAGG
rnacentral:rRNA from 1 species